rnacentral:snRNA from 1 species
UGCGCAAAUGCGGAUAUAAAG